AGUAAUUCACGCCUUCUCCACUAUGCCCACCUAAUUCCAUAAUUCCAUUAUCUUCGCGCGUGUUUCCUCAGGGCGCCCCACAAAAAAAAUUCAUUUCACCGCCAUGUGCUAAAAUCCCUCCACAAAUCGGCAGUUACUUAAUCUCAAUUCCCACUAUCUUAAACUGAUAUUCCUCUCCAACAGGCAAGCUUCGGUAGACUUCCCAACAUCAAAUUCCACAAACUCAGAUUACCAAAACUUCACACAACUCUCAAUUCAGCGAUGGUAGCUGCGAGUGCAACCCCAAUCAAGGGCGCCGGAGGCAGGCAAGGCGGCGACAGGAAGAAAUCAAAUAUCGAAAUCCGUCAAGUUGAAACAAUUCUGUGACGAGAGCCUAAAUUCUCUUAAAAUUUUCAGCUGGAAAUAUCCAAAGGUUCUUUUUUGACCUUUUUCUUACUGCUUAUUCAAUGAAUCUACAUCUGGAUUGUUGACUUGUUCAAGAUGCUAAGUUUUAUAUGUUUAGAUUUGUGUUCUGUAUUACAUGUUGCAAAACUAAAUGGAGGUUCUAUAAAUAUUUGAACACUAGCUGUCUCAAAAUUUCAAUUUUUAAAUAUUGAAGAAAAGUUUCUGAUUUAGAGAUAGCUUGCCAUUCGUGACUGGGAAGGGUGGACUCAGGUGUGUUUUUAAGGGAGUUUUCAGAGCUCGGUUAAUUCAUUUCCUAGCCUACUUGCACGAGGAAAUAGAUUUUCAGGCUAUCUUCAGGGACUUCAAAUCGUCGAUCUUUCUUCUAGAUGAGCAGUGGAACGCUAAGCUCACAGACUAUGGAUUAGCCUGGUUGGGUCCUCCUGAAGGACGAACAUACAUCUCAACCAUGGUGGUUGGAAGUAUGGGGCAUGCCACGCCUGAACGCAUCAGACCUCUUUUUGAGCUUACAAUUGACCAACCUGCUCUAGAUAUGCAGAGCUCUUGAGCUUGCAAUUGUCAAACCUGCUCUAGAUAUGCCAGAGUUAUUAUGGAAGUAGUAGAAGGGGGCUGAUGUUCUGCGGCUCUUUCUCACCAUGGAGUCAAUUAUCUCUUUCUUCCCUCAUAUCCUUCAUUUAGGAUUCAAGCUCAAGAGUCAUUGAAAAAGUUGUCGCGAUGGUUAACCAAUGUUCAACUCUUCCAAUGUACAACGGAGUUGCUUUUUGAUCAAGAGCUUGAAGAAAAAUUAUGAGUCCUAGAUUAAUUGCGAGUUGUAGAUUAAGUGCUUAGUAAUUUAGACAUUUAAAAUUAUAUGUAGUUAGUAAUUUCAGACUUGUACUUUGAUUUUGUUAAAUAUUUUUUUAUGUAAAUGUUCUGUGUGAUAUUCUUGUUAUAUUUAAUAUGUUGAGUAUUUGAUUUU